rnacentral:rRNA from 1 species
UACGAAGGGGGCUAGCGUUGCUCGGAAUCACUGGGCGUAAAGGGCUCGUAGGCGGCCAACUAAGUCAGACGUGAAAUCCCCAGGCUCAACCUGGGAACUGCGUCUGAUACUGGAUGGCUUGAAUCCGGGAGAGGGAUGCAGAAUUCCAGGUGUAGCGGUGAAAUGCGUAGAUAUCUGGAGGAAUACCGGUGGCGAAGGCGGCAUCCUGGACCGGCAUUGACGCUGAGGAGCGAAAGCUAGGGGAGCAAACGGG